rnacentral:rRNA from 1 species
GACGAACGCUGGCGGCGCGCUUAACACAUGCAAGUCGAACGGAAAGGCCUGCUUUCCCUUGUGGAUUGCGUGUACUCGAGUGGCGAACUGGUGAGUAACACGUGAGUGAUCUGCCCCCAACUUGGUUAUAAGCCUGGGAACCUGUGUCUAAUUCCCGAUAGAACUGCAGGGUGGUGCCUGUGGUGGAAAACUAUUUUCUAGUGGUUGGGGAUGAGCUCGCGGCCUAUCAGCUUGUUGGUGGGGUAAUGGCCUACCAAGGCGGCGACGGGUAGCCGGCCUGAGAGGGUGGACGGCCACAUUGGGACUGGGAUACGGCCCAGACUGCUACGGGAGGCAGCAGUGGGGAAGAUUGGACAAUGGGCGGAAGCCUGAUGCAGCGACGCCGCGUGGGGGAUGACGGGCUUGUGGUUGUAAACUCCUUUCGACCGAGAGGAAGCCACCUGGUUGGAAGGGUGGUGACGGUAGUGGUAGAAGAAGCACCGGCUAACUACGUG